GCUUGGCUAGCUCAGUCGGUAGAGCAUGAUACUCUUGAUCUCAGAGUCAUGGGUUCGAGCCCCACAUUGGGCG
rnacentral:tRNA from 1 species